UCUGACAGUGCCCAGUGCCAGCCAAUGGGCUCACGGCUUAGAGACCGGAGGAAGGUGGAGGAGGUCUUGUGUCUUCCUGGGAGCACCGUUCCGUUUGGGCGGUCCUGUCUGGCUGCUGCUGUCGCCUGUGAUGUCAGGCUCUGGUUUGUUCAGCGUCCAACACAGACUCAGAGUGUGACUCGCCGAGGAGCUUCUGGGCCUUUGGUUUGGACUGGUGCUGCCUCCUUGGCCCCUCCUGCCCUGCAGUUUCAGCUCUUUAGGCUGAACAGCCACUGGAUCCUCGGGCUCUCCAGAGUGCAGCGGCCCACAGUGAACUCUCCUCACUGGGGUCCUGUGAGCUACUUAACAGACCCUUUGUGUGGUUAUGCACAUGCAUCCUGUUGAGUCUUUCCUCCAGAAGACCCUAACGAGAAAGCAUACAUAGGAAAACAAGAACACGCCGUGAUGAAGGAGCAUGAAGUAAGCACACUGUGCAGCCACCACUCAGGAAAGCACAGUCAAGAUCGUCAGAAAAGAGCAGAGUAUGCAAAGCUGUCACCGCCAGGAGGACCUGAGGAAGCUCGACCCCGGCCUCAGUUUCCCACAGCUGCCAUACCAAAUCACCACCUCCGGGGUGGCUUGAAACAACAGUUUAUGUCUCAGUUCUGAAGCCCACAACUGUGGAAUGAGGCUUUGGAGGAGCACAUUCCUCUGGAAGUCCUAGCGCAGGCAGCUCCGGUGCUGCACCACAAGAAUGCCUUCUGUGACAGCCUGGCUCCCGUCUCUGCCCCGUGCUCACCCCACUUCUCCCCGGGGCUGUGCCAACACAGGGUGCUCCUCUGUGUGUGCCCAGGUCCCCUCUGCCUCCAGGACAGCAGUAAUCUGAGAUCACGGAGCACCCACUCCAGUUCGGCCUCCUUUAACCAAGCCCAUGCGCAAAGCAAACGUCACAGUCUGAGGUAUGCAGGUUGGAACGUCAACACGGUCUGUGGAGAUCAUCGUUCCUAACAACCAAAGGCAAAGCAAUGGGGAGGAGUAGUCAAGACUGUCUCCUGAUCGGCCACAGGAGGCAUCCUAUUGCUCAAGUCUCCUUCUGUUGCAAAUGGCAAAGGGCUGUAAUAAGAGUCCUUGACUCAAAUCAUUCACUGUCCAUGGUAGAGCUGCUGCAGGCCAUCUGCACCCAGGGGCUCCCGCCAUCUCUGCCCUCAGCUCCCCUGUCAGCUGGAGUCUCCACCGGCCCCGGCAUCCCCAACCCAUGGGCCUGGUGGAGAUGGGAAAGGAAGAGUGCCUCCCUCCUCCUGGUGCCCAGGGGCCAUCGCGGGGUCCUCACCGGCCUCCCUGCUUCAGGCUCCCUCCUCCAGAAUCACUUUCACUCUCUUAACACCUGUACACAGCAGGCGUGUGUCGUGCGCAGCUCUGGUGCUGGGAACACAGCCCUGGAAGACAUCACUCCUCUACAUUUCUUUUUCAGUUCUGGGAAUCGAACUCAGGACCUUGUGGUUGCCUGGCAGGCACGGUGCCACUGAGCUUCAUCCCAGGCCCCUACCCCUCUACAUUCUUGGAGUUGGCUUUUUAGUAGAGAAAGGCAGGCUCUCAGGAAUUCAAGGUGUAACUGUCAGGUGGUGAUAUAUGUCCUGAAGAAAAAGAGGGUGUGGGGCGAUUCAGUUAUCAUGAGGCUGCUCUUCUAUACGCGGUGGCAGGAGCGGCCUCUCUGGUGGGCUAAUAUUUCAGCAAAAACCUGCAGAAAUUAGAAAGUGAGCCCUGUGAAUAUCUGGAGGCAGAGCAAUGUGGAUUUAGGAGACCGCAAAUUUAGGACCCUAAGAUAGGAAACUAGGAAGCCAUUACCUUUAAAGGAUCAAAACCAGAGUGUGGGCAGGGGCGGGCGGGUUGUGGGCUGCCUGCCCUGCACAGCCCUUUGGGCUUGGGCUGGAGGGAGGCAGGGAGCCACGGCAGGAGGUGAGAGGUGAGCAGCACAGCGAGAUGAGAUGAUGGAACCGCAGCUCCGGGCCGCUGCAGACAUUGGGACACAGGGGCGCCAGCGUCCUCAGCAGAGCCCCUCGCUCUGCAAUCGGCCACAGCGGCUGCUGCAGCGUGAGAGGGUGAAGCGCCAACGACGGGACCUGGGCCUGCCUGGGGUGUGAGGGGCUGAGGGAGCAGGGCUUUGGGCGGGCGCUGUCGGGCACCUCUCUGAUCGGCAUCUUCCUAACGUUCCUCUGGGAGCAGAGAGCAGAGGUGGCGAGAAGCAGCAGCCAGGGGACAAGGAUGCGUGGCCCCUCGUGUGCUCUGGUUGGUAAGCGGUCAGCCAGUGGGCCCCAGCAGACCCCACCUACGGAGAUUUCAGUCUCUUCUUAGGGAAGAAGAGAAGGUUGGUGAUCAGACAGGAAGCUACGGAUGCAAACGUCCAGUGUGUUCAGGCUUCCCACCGAGAGGAGUACGCUUCAAGCAGUGUGAUGUGCUCGCCUGAUCCGGGGCGUACUUGGAGGGUAGAGAUCACUGCCUUCACACCACUCUGCCCUCUGCCUGGCUGUCAGCACCCUGCCGACCUCAAGGCCAGGCGCCAGCCAGUUGUUUGCUGUCUGCUUCUCCACUCUCACAGCCCAUCUGCACCCAAGCCCAGAGAAUGGGGACUUCAAUAGCUCCCAGGGUGUCCCUCCCGCCGGCACCUCAGCCCCAACCAUCCCUUUGCUGAAGCUGGCCCGUGCUUUGCACCAGUCCUGUCCCCACCCGACCGGGCCCCUGCACACCCUACUGCACUAGGCUGUCACUCAAGGCAGACGACAGGGGACUGUGUCGCCUCCCUCCUUAGGACCACCCAAACUCCCAGCCCCGACAGGCCAAACUCAGGGCUGCUUGGCACAACCUUCACAUCCUGGGAGUGCUGAGUGCUUAGCUGUGCCUGGAGUACUGGAGGCAUCAGAAGCCAGGGAUGCCAGACAAGACAUGCAUUGUACACAGCCUUGAAUGCCAUGCUAAGGUCUGGGGCUUCAUUGUACAGGCCAGGGAUGGGGAAUCUUCUAGAGAUGAGCACCCAAACUGCAGCCCCAAAACCCACUUAUUUAUCCCAAAGUGCCAGCACUGCAAUUAUACCUGAAUACUGAGGUCUUAGUUUAGAAGAAGCAACUGUUAUCCCAUGCUCAGCUGCUGGAGCAACUUGGCUCACGUGCUGACAGAGAGGGCUCUGCACGCCUGCUGCAGCACAGCUUCGCCACCACUGGUACAGGCAAUGGGCAGCCAUGGAAGGGUACAGAAGAGAGGCUUGAUCUCAGGCCCACAAGUUCCCACACUGCUUGCUUCACAGCCCCUCACAGCUUACGAUCAUUUCAUUGGCUACACACACACCCGUGCACACACACACGCACUCUCACGCACCCACACACACCUUUCGUACCUUUUGAGUCAGGAGAGCAAAGGAGUGGUUCUGUGCUGUUCACAGCUAUUUCUCUACAGCCGACGAGAGCCUCGAACACAGUGGGACUCCACACGAGGUUGCUCGGUGAGUGGCGACUGGAGGAAGGGGGCAGGAUCGCAGGAAGUGAACCAUGCCCCAUCCCGCCCGACUGUGUGAUUACGUGUGCCUUAGUGAGUAACCUGUAGCUCAGGGCAGCAGCAGUAAGUGGACAGCAGACAAGGCCGUGGAAAGUGCACCUGUGCGUGCCAUCAAUGAUUGAAAAACAGACAUUCAGUGCUACUGGGGGGACCGAUGCUGUGACUUAGUACUCAGCUUAGUCUGUAAAUAUGGACUGAAGCAGGCUUUAUUCAGGUAUGCCUUUUAAAAUUCAAACCAAUCCACUUCUUUUACAAUUUGAGAAAACAUCUUCAUGGGUAGUGGGACUUUUUCAAUUAUCAAAAUUUUUAAUAAGUAUGUAUUACCUUAGGAUAUCAGAAAAACAAUAAAAGUUUAAGAACUGGC
ensembl:lncRNA